rnacentral:tRNA from 1 species
ACCUGGGUGGCUCAGUCGGUGGAGCAUGUAACUCUUGAUCUCACGGUUGUGGGUUCAAGCCCCAUGUUGGGUA